UAGUCCACGCCCUAAACGAUGUCAACUAGACGUUGGGUUCAUUAAGGAACUUAGUGUCGAAGCUAACGCGUUAAGUUCACCGCCUGGGGAGUACGGUCGCAAGAUUAAAACUCAAAGAAAUUGACGGGGGCCCGCACAAGCGGUGGAGCAUGUGGUUUAAUUCGACGCAACGCGCAGAACCUUACCAGCCCUUGACAUGCUAGUUGCGGUUCCGGGAGACCGGUUCCUUCCUUCGGGAGACUAGUACAGGUGCUGCAUGGCUGUCGUCAGCUCGUGUCGUGAGAUGUUGGGUUAAGUCCCGCAACGAGCGCAACCCUUGCCUUUAGUUGCCAUCGGGUUUGGCCGGGCACUCUAAAGGAACUGCCGGUGACAAGCCGGAGGAAGGUGGGGAUGACGUCAAAUCAUCAUGGCCUUUAUGCCUAGGGCUACACACGUGCUACAAUGGCAGGUACAGAGGGUUGCGAAGGGGUGACCUGGAGCUAAUCUCAGAAAGCCUGUCCCAGUUCGGAUUGGAGUCUGCAACUCGA
rnacentral:rRNA from 1 species